GAUGAACGCUGGCGGCGUGCCUAAUACAUGCAAGUCGAGCGAACAGACGAGGAGCUUGCUCCUCUGACGUUAGCGGCGGACGGGUGAGUAACACGUGGAUAACCUACCUAUAAGACUGGGAUAACUUCGGGAAACCGGAGCUAAUACCGGAUAAUAUAUUGAACCGCAUGGUUCAAUAGUGAAAGACGGUGUUGCUGUCACUUAUAGAUGGAUCCGCGCCGCAUUAGCUAGUUGGUAAGGUAACGGCUUACCAAGGCAACGAUGCGGAGCCGACCUGAGAGGGUGAUCGGCCACCCUGGAACGGAGACACGGUCAAUACUACUGCGGUAGGCAGCAGUAGGGUAUCUUACGCAACGGGCGAAAACCUUGCGGAGCAACGCCGCGUGAGUGAUGACGGUCUUCGGAUCGUAAAACUCUGUUAUUAGGGAAGAACAACUGUGUACGUAACUAUGCACGUCUUGACGGUACCUAAUCAGAAAGCCACGGCUAACUACGUG
rnacentral:rRNA from 1 species